rnacentral:rRNA from 1 species
UACGGGGGGGGCAAGCGUUGUUCGGAAUUACUGGGCGUAAAGGGCUCGUAGGCGGCCAACUAAGUCGGAUGUGAAAUCCCCAGGCUUAACCUGGGAACUGCAUCCGAUACUGGAUGGCUUGAAUCCGGGAGAGGGAUGCAGAAUUCCAGGUGUAGCGGUGAAAUGCGUAGAUAUCUGGAGGAAUACCGGUGGCGAAGGCGGCAUCCUGGACCGGCAUUGACGCUGAGGCACGAAGGUCAGGGGAGCAAACGGG